GCCCGGUUAGCUCAGUCGGUAGAGCAUCAGACUUUUAAUCUGAGGGUCAGGGGUUCAAGUCCCCUAUUGGGCG
rnacentral:tRNA from 1 species